CCUACGGGAGGCAGCAGUGGGGAAUAUUGGGCAAUGGGCGCAAGCCUGACCCAGCAACGCCGCGUGAAGGAAGAAGGCUUUCGGGUUGUAAACUUCUUUUCUCAGGGACGAAGAAAGUGACGGUACCUGAGGAAUAAGCCACGGCUAACUACGUGCCAGCAGCCGCGGGAAUACGUGGGUGGCAAGCGUUAUCCGGAUUUAUUGGGUGUAAAGGGCGUGUAGGUGGGAGCGCAAGUCAGAUGUGAAAACUCAGGGCUAAACCCUGAGCCUGCAUUUGAUACUGUGUUUCUUGAGUGCUGGAGAGGCAAUCGGAAUUCCGGGUGUAGCGGUGAAAUGCGUAGAUAUACGGAGGAACACCAGUGGCGAAGGCGGAUUGCUGGACAGUAACUGACGCUGAGGCGCGAAAGCGUGGGGAGCAAACAGGAGUAGAUACCCUUGUAGUC
rnacentral:rRNA from 1 species